CCCCUCCUUUCUCGAGCUAGACGUGUCAAACGUUGAGCGCUCACGCUUAUCGGCUGUAGUAGUAAAGAAACGCAGACAGACUCAGGGGUCUGUAGCUCAGUCGGUUAGAGCACCGUCUUGAUAAGGCGGGGGUCGAUGGUUCGAAUCCAUCCAGACCCACCACUGUCUUGUCUGGUGCGCUGGGCGUCUGAACCUCUGGGGUGACUGUAUGACUGGGGGAUUAGCUCAGCUGGGAGAGCACCUGCUUUGCAAGCAGGGGGUCGUCGGUUCGAUCCCGUCAUCCUCCACCAAUCCUCAAUGCGUAGGGUUCUGUGUCAGGUACACAGAGCGUUGUGCAUUGGCGAUUGAGCCAGUCAGUAAGGAUACGCGGUUACAGCAAUCGCGCUAUCGGCUGAACGUUCUUUAACAAUCAGGAAGAAGUAGUAAAGAGAUUCACGAAAGUGUACUUAGAGAUGGGUACAUGAGUAGGUGAAUCAGGGUUGUGAUUGUAUCGAUGUAUUUUUAAGUGAUCGAAAGAUUGCUUUGGAAUACGGCGCAACACGAAUACUCAACCUGUAGCGAGUGGAAACUCAAUCGGGCACCUUGUCCCCUUCGGGGAUGGGGCCCACGUAAGCGCUAAAGCGCUAACGUGGGACCGACAGAGACACACCCGUUAUAGGGUCAAGCGAACAAGUGCAUGUGGUGGAUGCCUUGGCGAUCACAGGCGAUGAAGGACGCGGUAGCCUGCGAAAAGCUACGGGGAGCUGGCAAACGAGCUUUGAUCCGUAGAUGUCCGAA
rnacentral:misc_RNA from 1 species